CCUUUGCCCAUCCAUCUUCAGGACACAGGACACGCCUGCAGCUGAGGAGGAGAGAGAAAUUGAGUUGACAGAGCAGUCAGAGAGCCUCUCUUUUCUUCUGCAUACUUUUCCUUUUAUCUUUCUCUCUUCAGUUUCAGAGCUUCUUGUUCUCACCUUCAUGCUGUGGUAGUGCUGACAAAGAAAACUGCAGCCCUGCAAGCUGGUGGUGAGUAAUGGCCCCAGGCCCUGAAUACCUAAUGCCUAUUGUAUGUGUGUGGGGGAGGGAGACCCACAGGGAGGGGAAGAAUUUGGUCAGAUUGCCUGGGUAGGAACAGAACCUUGUGGUGAGGACCCUGGAUGCAUCCAGAGAGUAUCUAGAGUUUUGAUACCUGUCCCUUAAUUAAAUCCAAGGAUCUAAUAGGCAUGGCCUUUCGGAAUGCUUUGUUCAAACAGAUUUGAUUCCUGCCCAGGGGCUUUUUAAGCCACUGACCACUUUGAACCUAAUUAGAAAAAGCAGAGGACACUGGAGACAUUUAAUAAAAGGCAUCAAGUUGCUGCUUCAUCUUCAUGACCUGGGAUUUAUAAGGGAAUUUCACUGGCUUUGUAGCAAUGUAAAAUAAAUAGACAUUAGAUGAUGACAGGGAAAGCAAAAUUGCUGCCAAAGCUAAAAAGAGCUUGGCAAAAGAAGAAAGGACUACUACAUAGUCAGUCAUUAUUUACUGUACAAACCUUUUCAUAAAGCAUAGGAGAGAGAUACAUAGGAAUAAUGGGCCCCUGCGAAAAGAUGAAAAGAGCUUUCUAUAGCUCACAUCAUCCCCUGACUGACGAAGGCACUGACAUGUCCCCUUGUUACACAAUCUUAUUGUUCUAUUCAGCCAUUCAGAAAGCUGAAUGCGCAGCCCUGAUCUGGACUUUGAAAGGCUGAAAUACAGAGUCCACACAUUUCCAAAGAAAAGAAUAAAACUGUAACGGAUGGAAAUAACUAAUUAAUUUGUUAAUCCUUGCAGACUGCCACGGUCCACUGCAUAGUUUUAGCUGGUUAAUUAUUCUGUAGCCUGUAAGACUAACAUGUAAAUAAGUGCAGUUACCUAACCCCGACAGCUCCUGACAAAAGAAUCCAACUGUUCAUUGUUUAAUUUAAAGGGAGCAAGGCUUUGCUUUUUGUUGGUGGUGCCCGUAUUGAGAAGUUCAUGAACCAAUGUGACCUGACAGACUUCCAUUCCUUCACACUUCAGAGAAAUGGUUUGGUUCCCCAGUAUGUGGCCUUUUCUCCACCUCAAAAAGCUGAAACCAUGUGACUUCUCUAAGUAACACUGUGUCUACCCAAUCCAACAACAGGAAACAAUUUUUAGAUGUUAGUGACAGAAACUAUUUUUAUCAACUUUAAAGUGCUCCUACUGUGAAUUACUACAACUAUAACCCUGGUGUAGAUCAGAACAGAGAAGCACACUAGAAAGAUUUAAAGGGCCAAGGUACAUUAUUUAGUAAUGCAAUUAAUAGCCUAUUAUUCUACUAGAUUUCAUCUUAGCCACUAGAAUCCAUAAAUAGACUUAUAAAUAGAUUUAUAGGUAGGACUUUCAAAAAUGCAUAUAUGUAGAUAUAGGGGUGUGUGUGUGUGUGUAAGAGAUUGGUGGAAUAGGGAAGAAAGUGUUCCUACAACAUUUGAGAAAUAUGGAGAUAAAAGGCCCCAAAAUGUAUCCUGCAGAAUACACAAGGGACCAUUCUGGGGCCAAGGGUGUGGCUCAGUGGUACAGCCUGUGCUUAGCUUAGGCGAGGCCCUGGGUUUAAUCCCCAGCACCACUAAAAAAUGUUUUAAAGGGAACUGUUCUAACAAAGAAGAAAACAUGAUCCCAUAGGCUGUGCUGAGUGAUCCCAUAGGACUGUACUGAGUGAUGCCACAGGCUGUACUGAGUGCUCCCAUAGGCUACACUGAGUGUUCCCAUAGGCUGUACUAAUCUCUAUUUCAGUACUCAAAACAGACAAACCCCCGUCUAACUAGGUUGGUCAGAAAAUAGUGGGCUCUUUAUAAAACAGCAUGGAGUCACCUGACAACCACCAGAUAAAUGAGUAUCUGCCCUGCCUCUACUUCUUUAUGACAGUAGGGCUUCAUACAAGUCACUGUCCUCUCUAAGCCACCAUCCACUCCCACAAGAGGAAAAUUGGGGAACUGACACCUCCUGCCUCACAGUGCUGUUAUCUCCAAGAACAAAUAACCAUGAUAUAUCCGGAUCGUGUGCUCAAAGUCAUGAAGUCCCAUGAAAAUAUGGAAUUUAAUGUAUUCUAAUAGUCAUUGCCCAUCUAAGCAAUAGAUUCACCAUUUUUAAAGGACAUGAAAAAAUAUCAGAACAAUCUUUAAAUAUUAAGAAUUUUAGAAAGAAGCAUCAAUGCCUCUCCUCUACUGUGAAUGUGAGCAUCAAUUACAAAAAUAUUUAAAUGAAAUAUAUGACUUACUGAGAGCCAUAGCGGAGUCGGAAUGACGCCAACAGAGGUGAGGCAAAGAACCUCACCCCCCCCCACUGGUACAAAGGCCAAAUUUGGGGGCCAACAGAGGUGAGGCAAAGAACCUCAUCCCCCCACACACUGGUGCAAAGGCCUAUCCACAAGUAUGGCUGUAUGCUGAACCAGUAGUCAAUGACGGGUAUGAUCCAACAAUGGUACCAACCUAAGACAGGAGGCUGACGCCUUGAGGUCAGCUCAUCCUAUGACGGGUAAGGACCAUAUGUAGAAUUGGACAACCUAGAUAGGCAUGGUCCCUUAACUACAUGCUUGGUGUUUAAUUAAACAGAAGGGGGGAGAUGCUGAGAGCCAUAGCCAAGUCAGAAUGACGCUUGGCAUUUUUGCCAGAACAGAGUGGUUGAGAGGUGACUCCAGCAAGCCAUUGAGAUGAUGAUGGUUAUGUUAAGCUGUGUAUUCAAUUGUAUAUUAGACCCCUGCUAUCCACCUCAGGCACCGGCUACUUUGGAGUUCUCACAUUACUUUGGAAGUGGGGAUUCCUGGGGAGUUGUGUUGGUUGGGGAAGUGCCAGAGGAGGGAUUUCCAGUUGGUGUGUGGUGUGUCCUGGGGGAAGGCCGCGUGCAUGGCAUUCCUUUGUUCCUUCUUGAGUGGCUCGUGAUUUGUGCCCAGCCAGACUGCGGCAAUGACUGAAAUUUAAAUUUUGAUAAUAAUAAUAUAUGUGGUUAUUAGAAAUAUAACAGUAGUUAUCAUAUCCCACUAUGCCUUCCAACGUCCUCAUAGGUUGCACAAGAGUUCUGAUGCAUUGAUUAAAACCAUUAGUCGACUUAGAGGAUUCCUAAGAGACACUAAAUGAGCAGUAUGAAAGGGGACAAAGGGACAUGGGCUUGGGUAAGAUCCAGAGAGUCUGACAAUGGAAGAAGGAUGCUGCUUACUCAAGACACUUUAUAUAAGUCUAUAGUAAUGUCAUAAAAUAUUGCCAUCUGCACAUAUUAUAAUAGACAUAAACAUCUUUACUCUUUGGAUAUGACUGGAACCCCAUGAGCUAUGGUGCCCUUGUGCAGUGCAUACCUUCCCAAACAAGUAUGGUGACCUGAGAUGUUUUGCUUUACCCUUUAUAUCUUCAGUAUUUCUUAUUACAUUUUCUUCAGGAUUUGUAAACUAUCAUUUGAAAUUUGUAAGACAUCAAAUAGAGAACAUUAAAAAUGUAUCUCUAGGCCCCCAAGUGAAUUUCAAUAUUAAUAAGAAGCCUAAAUCCCAUGCAGAUAUAUGAAUGCCUGAAUUUAAACAGAGUCUCAGAAGCUGUGAUUUCUGCCUUGUUUUUCUAAAUAGUUACUGGGUGACUUUGUUCCCAUCACUCAAUGCCGUAGUCCGGCUGCAGCAAAAUAACCAGGGGGUGACGAACAACUUGUGUACAUUGAUACAGCAGGAGUAGGAGCUGUUUACUGUAGGACAGGAGGGGUAUUUAUACAUUCCACACAGCUUAUCUAAUUAACAUAAACUAGAUACAGCAGUCAACCAAUAAGGAAUCUCCACACUUAAUGGCUCGCUGGUGUUACUUCACAAACCACUCCCUCUGGUGUUUUGCCAGGCGCCAUCCAGACUUGUUUACAGACUCUAACAUUUCCCCCUUUUGUUUAAUUUAAAUAAGGACCAUAGUGGUUUUUACACAAACACCAUAAAUAAUCUGCUCCAAGCAGAAGGGGAGGAUACAAAAUGCCACAAUACCAAGCCAAUUGAUGGCUCCAUGCAAGAAGCCCUUGGAAAAAUUAUACCAGCAAUGACACAG
rnacentral:lncRNA from 1 species